ensembl:snRNA U6 U6 spliceosomal RNA
GUAUUUCUAAAGAGGGGGAUGCACACUUGGACAACACAUAUACUAAAACUGGAACAAUACAGAGAUCAGCAUGGCCCCUGAGCAAGGAUGACAAGCAAAUUCAUGAACUGUUCCUUUUUUUU